rnacentral:rRNA from 1 species
UACGUAGGGCGCAAGCGUUGUCCGGAAUUAUUGGGCGUAAAGAGCUCGUAGGCGGCCAGUUGCGUCUGCUGUGAAAUCCCGGGGCUCAACCCCGGGCGUGCAGUGGAUACGGGCUGGCUAGAGGCAGGCAGGGGAGAACGGAAUUCCCGGUGUAGCGGUGAAAUGCGCAGAUAUCAGGAGGAACACCGGUGGCGAAGGCGGGUCUCUGGGCCGUUACUGACGCUGAGGAGCGAAAGCGUGGGGAGCGAACAGG